rnacentral:misc_RNA from 1 species
UUUCCGUAGGUGAACCUGCGGAAGGAUCAUUAUCGUACAAAAUGUGAGGGGCAUGCGAGGGCUGUCGCUGACCCAAAGGUCGUGCGCGCCCGAGUGUGUCCUCUUGCAUAAUAAUCCAUCUCACCCUUUGUGCAUCACCGCGUGGGCACCCUUCGGGAUCAUCUCGGAGGGGGGCCCGCGUUUUCACACAAACCCCCCUUUUAAAAGUGUAGAAUGACCACAUUUAUGCGAUCAAUACAACUUUCAACAACGGAUCUCUUGGCUCUC